GUCAGUAGUUAGCUCUCUGCAACUCUCACAUGGUCACCCACUGAAGCUAAGCAGGGCUGCGUUCAGUAAGUAUCUGGAUGGGAGACCACAUGGGAAAGCUAAUGUUGCUGCCG
rfam:Danio rerio chromosome 23 genomic contig CTG2229, GRCz11 reference primary assembly.